rnacentral:lncRNA from 1 species
CUUUUGUUAUUGUUAAUUAACUCACCUCAUUCAUCAAGUUGAGCACAUUCCUUGUGAGCACUAAUCACUAAAAAUUUUAAGAGACCUAAUUCACCCUCCUCUUGGGUUUCAUAUCUGGGCAAUAAGUGGUAUUAGAGCCUAGUGCUCUAGUCCUUGCUUAAUUUAACCAUCAAGAGCUAAAGAUCUAUGGCAACCCAAUUUGGCACAUC